CUCUCUGUUCUUUGUUUUAACCACAGGAAAUGAUGACGUAGGCCCUCUGAAUAAACAGCGCACAUUCCUCAGUUAUCGGCACUGCAGAAAGACUUUAGGUCUGAACAAAGGCAAAACCUACCUUAUCAUGGGUGCAUCCAAAGAUAUUUACACAGACCAACGGAGACAAUUGUAUCAGUACGUGCUGAGUGAGAGAAACUGGAUUGAGUACUGGCCCACAGAUGCAGAGUGUAAAACCUCUGUAUACAAGCCUACCUGUGCAGGCAUAUUGGAGAUGGCCCAGAAGUACACAAGAGAUGGAUGUCAGCAGUAGUGAUGCUGAAGGAAAUAAAAUGUUCUGUUCAAAUUG